rnacentral:rRNA from 1 species
CGAGUGAAGCGGGAAGAGCUCAAAUUUGAAAUCUGGUGGCCUCAGGCUAUCCGAGUUGUAAUCUAUAGAAACAUUUUCCGCGUUGGCCCAUGUACAAGUCUCUUGGAAUAGAGCGUCAUAGAGGGUGAGAAUCCCGUCCUUGACAUGGACUACCAGUGCUUUGUGAUAUGUUUUCAACGAGUCGAGUUGUUUGGGAAUGCAGCUCAAAAUGGGUGGUAAAUUCCAUCUAAAGCUAAAUAUUGGCGAGAGACCGAUAGCGAACAAGUACCGUGAGGGAAAGAUGAAAAGCACUUUGGAAAGAGAGUUAAACAGUAUGUGAAAUUGUUGAAAGGGAAACGAUUGAAGUCAGUCGUGUCUAUUGGACUCAGCCGGUUCUGCCGGUGUACUUCCUUUAGAUGGGGUCAACAUCAGUUUUGAUCGCUGGAAAAGGGCAGGAGGAAUGUAGCACUCUCGGGUGAACUUAUAGCCUUCUGUCGCAUACAGUGGUUGGGACUGAGGAACGCAGCUUGCCUUUAUGGCCGGGAUUUAUCCACGUACAAGCUUAGG